rnacentral:rRNA from 1 species
AUUGAACGCUGGCGGCAUGCUUUACACAUGCAAGUCGAACGGCAACGCGGAGCAGCUUGCUUCUCUGUCGGCGAGUGGCGAACGGGUGAGUCUAGCAUCGGAACGUGUUAAGUUGUGGGGGAUAACAAAACGAAAGUUUGGCUAAUACCGCGUAAGCUCCAAGGCGGAAAGUAGGGGACCUAAAUAAGGCGUUACGGUAUUUGAUCGGCCGAUGUCGGAUUAGUUAGUUGGUGGGGUAAUGGCUCACCAAGGCAAUGUACCGUAGCGGGGGUGAGAGGCCGAUCCGCCACACUGGGACUUGGACACGGCCCAGACUCCUACGGGAGGCAGCAGUGGGGAAUUUUGGACAAUGGUGGAAACCCUGAUCCAGCCAUGCCGCGUGUAUGAAGAAGGCCUUAGGGUUGUAAAGUACUUUUGUUAGGUAAGAAAAGCUAGUUUUUAAUAAAAAUUAGUGGUGACGGUACCGAAAGAAUAAGCACCGGCUAACUACGUG